ensembl:lncRNA
UGGGACUUGGUGAGGAGAGCAAAUUUAAAGGCCCCCAGAGGAGACUAAGCUUGAUGAUAAGAUGAAGGCCACGCCAGCAUCACCACACAAGGAGAGAGGUGGAAAGAGACAAGAAGAGGUGGUUGUAUUAGUUUCCUAUGGCUGCUAUGGUGGCUCAAAACAAGAGAAAUUCAUUGUCUCAUAAACCAGGAGGCCAGAAGUUGAAAUUAAGGUGUCUGCAGAGUUGUUCUCUUCAAGAGGUUCUAAGGAAAAAUCUGUCCCAUGUGUUUCUCUCAGCUACUGGUGGUGGCUGGUGGGCCUUGAUGUUCCUGGACUUAGACCCGCGACCUUCUAAUCUCAGUCUCCACCUUCAUCCCUAUGUCUCCUCUCUGCCUUGGAGUCUCUUUUCUUCUUGGGAGGACAUCAGUCAUAUCAGAUUCAGAGUCAUGCUUAUCCAGUAUGACCUCAUCCUUAUAUAACUGAUUACAUCUGCAGAGACCCUGUUUCCAAACUAGCUCACUUUCUUAGGCUCCAAGGGACAUCAUUCAACCGAGCACAGAGGGCCACCGAUUGUCAGAUCAUACAGGGGCUGGUGACUCUUUGCAUGGAACUUGGGUUUUUGUGUUGUUCUGUUUUUCUAAAUGCAACCUUAAAUCUCCAGAAGAUUUUUAGCAGAGGAGAGAAGUAAUCUAAUAUAUACAUUGGUAAGACCAUUCUGGGAUUUGCCUGGUGGCUUAGAUGGUAAAGAAUCUGCCUGCCAAUGCAGGAGACCCGGGUUCAAACCCUGGAUUGGGAAGAUCCCCUGGGGUAGGAAUUGCAACCCAUUCUGGUAUUCUUGCCUGGAGAAUGCCAUGAAAAGAGAAGCCUGGUGGGCUAUAGCCCAGGGGUUCUCAAAGAGUCAGACCCAACUAAGCGAAUAACACUUUCACUUUCAGGAUCAUUCUGACCAGUAUAUAAAGAAAGAGUUCUCAGUAGAAGAGAAAAGACAUACGAAAAGCCAGUGCACUGACUCCUGCAGUCAUUAAGGAGAGAGAUGAUAGAGGCUUGAAGCGAGCGUGUUGGCAUUUACAGCCGAGGGGUGUGGACCUUGGGGGAAGGAUCUGAAGGAUGACUGUUGUGGGAUUAAAUGUGACCAUAUUGGCAAAGCAUAUGGUACAUUCCCACCUCUCUCUCCACAAAACAUCCUCAAGAGGUGGUAUAAGACCUCAUCCUGGUCUCAACAUCAUAGCUGUGUGUCUCCACAUCAUAGCUGUGUGUCUCCACAAAGGAUGAAGAGGGAGUUGCCUUUGAAGAUCAAGUUCAGGCACUAUGCUGGAUUCACAAACCAGAUCUGCUAACUUGGAUAUAUAUUUUCCCCCUUAUCUUCAACUUCCCACUUGGUUUUCUGUGAAUAUUUGUAUAUUCUGGUCAUUUCAUUCACAGGUGGAUGAAAAAAUUUGCCCCAGGGAAGCAGAAGGGCAUGAAAAGGAAAGGCCUUCCCAGCAAAGUGAAGCAAAAGGCAACACAGCCCAAUUCUGUUCUUAUUUAUUAAUCAGAAAAAAAAAUAAAACUUUAAAUAUCUGAAAAAUAUUAUUUUCCCUAUCCCUGGGGAAAACAUUGCACACAGGCAAAUAUAGAUUUUGCAUACAGCUUCAAGGAAUUUCUAGAAUGCCUGAGUUCACUUAUGAAUAUCAAUUUCAAGAUUUCCGACUUUAACACUCAAAAAAAAAAAAGGAAAAGGAGGGG